UUUAGGGAGAGAAAGACAAAACAUUUAUUCCAGGCCAGGUCUUAAAAUUCACACUGUACUGUUCCCUGUUCUUAUCAGCACCAAUAAGGAGAGAACAUGCCUUAACGGCAGCCCCACCCAGAGCCUGCUGCAUGGCUGCUGUGAGGCUCUGCAUGAGUCCAUGCAGUCUUCUUCCUCACUGGUGCAGUUGGUGAGGUUUUCUACCCUCACAGCAAAGGGAUCCUUAACUAUAACUUCACUGUAUGCAGGGAAGAGGACAGAAUCUGAUGUAUUGAUUGUUCCUCAUCUAAACCAUGACUUAAUCCCUAUCUUAGGAUUUGACUAUCUUUAUUCUCUGGUUAAAAUUAAACAACAACAACAAAAAAAAGUAGGGGGAGGGGGAGAGUGGUAAGGGACAAUAGCAAUAGAGAUUACGCUGUGCUGACACAGAGACUAAAUUCUAAUCAGAGUGAAGACCCAUAUAAAGGGCCAGCUGAUGGUUUAAAGGAAGUAACUACAUGGAGUCUAAUCGAGACAUACAUGAGUUAUGUCUCAUUAGCCUUAGUAAUAUAAGGAAACAAUUCUCAACAAAACUGGAGUCCACAGUUGUCAAGUAUGCUUUCUCAGGCAUGGGUAGCUAAAAGUCUGGAGAAAUGGGUUCUCUCCAUGCCCAGUAACAAAGCAAGACGGUCUCAGGUUUGACAUUAAGAGCAGGUCCCAUUGUCAGGCGGUGUCUGCAGCUCACAGCUGAGUUCAGCAAUGGAAUCGAGUGGAGAAUUUGGGAGAUACAGGCACAGUCAGAGGCUGGUCACUUGACUUUAUCUCCAGACCCUGGUACUUGCGUAUUGGAUUUGCCUUAUGCACCAGUUCUCUCCAGUAGCCUGGCCAGCUCCUCCUUUUUCUGCUCUUCCUCCUGUUGUCUGGCCUCCUCCAACUGCUGGGCUUUCUGGGCUUCUACCUCAGCCAUUCUCUUCUCCAGCUCCUGCAGCUCCUUGGCUCUCUUCUCAGUAGCCAACUGAAAAUGUUCCUGAACUAGAGAACCAGAAAGGCCCUCAGCAACUGAUUUCUUCUCUUUUUUGGGAACAAAGGGCUCCUGAGAGAUGACGGUGUUUGGACGAGCCUUGAAGCAAGCUGCUUCUUUCUGCUGACUCAGUUCUUCUUCCAGCUGGUGCUUCCAAGUUUGUGCCUUCAGAGCACCUCUUCUGUCAGUCCCCAAGCAGAACUGUUCAAUCUGGGUCACAUUCUUUACCUUCUUCUCUGGCAGAUUAAUGAAAUGAAAGCCAAGAGAUGUGCCACUCCUGUAAUCAUCGAUGAAAUUCUACCCUCUAAGAAAAUGAAAGUUUCUAACAACCAACAGAAGCCAGAGGAAGAAGGCAGUGCUCAAGAUGCUUCUGAAAAGAAUGAAUCUUCCCCAGAGAAAGCCAAGGGUAGACAUUCUGUGCCUUGUAUGCCACCCAUAAAGCAGAAGGUUCUAAAAAGUACUGAGGAGCAAGAGCUGGAGAAGAGUAUGAAAACUGCAGCAAGAGGUGGUGAAAAUGGGAAAAAGAAUGAAGAAUUCAAGAAACUUGCUCUGGCUGGAAUAGGGCAACCUGUGAAGAAAUCAGUGAGCCAGGUCACCAAAUCAGUUGACUUCCACUUCCGCACAGAUGAGCAAAUCAAACAAUAUCCUAAGAACCAGGAGGAGUAUAAGGAAGUGAACUUUACAUCUGAACUACGAAAGCAUCCUUCAUCUCCUGCCCGAGUGACUAAGGGAUGUACCAUUGUUAAGCCUUUCAACCUGUUCCAAGGAAAGAAAAGAACAUAUGAUGAAACAGUUUCUACAUAUGUGCCCCUUGCACAGCAGGUUGAAGACUUCCAUAAACGAACCCCUAACAGAUAUCAUUUGAGGAGCAAGAAGGAUGAUACUAACCUGUUACCCUCCAAAUCUUCUGUGACCAAGAUUUGCAGAGACCCACAGACUCCUGUACUGCAAACCAAACACCGUGCACGGCCUGUGACCUGCAAAAGUGCAGCAGAGUUGGAGGCUGAGGAGUUCGAGAAACUGCAACAAUACAAAUUCAAAGCACGUGAACUUGAUCCCAGAAUACUUGAAGGUGGGCCCAUCUUGCCCAAGAAACCACCUGUGAAACCACCCACUGAGCCUAUUGGCUUUGAUUUGGAAAUUGAGAAAAGAAUCCAGGAGCGAGAAUCAAAGAAGAAAUCAGAGGAUGAACACUGUGAAUUUCAUUCCAGACCUUGCCCUACUAAGAUUUUGGAAGAUGUUGUGGGUGUUCCUGAAAAGAGGGUACUUCCAAUCACCGUCCCCAAGUCACCAGCCUUUGCAUUGAAGAACAGAAUUCGAAUGCCCCCCAAAGAAGAUGAGGAAGAGGACGAACCAGUCUUGAUAAAAGCUCAACCUGUGCCACAUUAUGGGGUGCCUUUUAAGCCCCAAAUCCCAGAGGCAAGAACUGUGGAAAUAUGCCCUUUCUCCUUUGAUUCUCGAGACAAAGAGCGUCAGUUACAGAAGGAGAAGAAAAUAAAAGAACUGCAGAAAGGGGAGGUGCCCAAGUUCAAGGCACUUCACUUGCCUGUUAGUUAUCUUUACUAA